rnacentral:lncRNA from 1 species
UGUGUGUCGUGUUUAUUGCAACAAGAAAAAAGAAGAACAAUAUAGAAAAUCAUUAAAAAAAAAUCUACAAUUUCAAAACUUUCAAAAUAAAGUAUACAAACAUAGCUCAACCUCCGAACAAAACACAAAACGGACAAGAACAAAUGAACCUGAAAAUUUUACCACACAGUUUAAUACGUUCCUGAAUUUAGAAGGGGGCAAACAAUGCAACGUUAUAUAGGAAGGUACAGGAAAAAUGUAUAUGCAUUAACCAUAAGAAAAGUCUCAUAAAGUGGGCCUCCUUUUCCCAUAUUUGUCUGCCCCCCCUUAACCGCCCCUGUUACCCACGGUUAGUCCACAUCAUUGUUAUAGCAUUUUGGCUAAUUUAUGAAAUUGUGUUUUUUAAUCGUAUGUCUCUUAACCAAGUAUGUACAUUUUAUUUAAAUGAAUUUGCGCAUUUAUAUAUUUUUUUAAAGUAAUUUUGCAAAAGGUUGAUGGGGAAUAUGUUCUGUGAAUCAAACCUUGCUUUGUAUAUGAAACAUGCUGAGAGUGUUUUAACGUUCUUAUACGGAGUGUUUAAACGUGUUUAUCCCGCUGCAAAUGUUUGCACCUGUCCUAAGUCAGGAGUCAGGUGUACAGUAGCUGUCGUUUGUUUAUAUAAUUUAUACGUGUUUCUCGUUUUUUAAAUGGAUUAGACCGUUGGUUUUCCCGUUUGAAUGGUUUUACAUUAGUAAUUUUGGGGCCCUUUAUAGCUUGUUGUUCGGUGUGAGCUAAGACUACGUGUUGAAGGCCGUACAUUGACCUAUAAUGGUUCACUUUUAUAAUUGUUAUUUGGAUGGAGAGUUGUUUCAUUUGCACUCACAUCUUCCUAUAUCUAUAUAAGACGGAAUGUGUUUUCAACUCUUGUUGACAUUUCUAAGAAUAUAUAGAAUAUAGUGAAUGAUUCGGGACGUUUAAUGAAUUUGUACAUAUAUUUCUAAUGUCA